rnacentral:rRNA from 1 species
AUUGAACGCUGGCGGCAUGCUUUACACAUGCAAGUCGAACGGUAACAGGGUGCUUGCACCGCUGACGAGUGGCGAACGGGUGAGUAAUGCGUCGGAACGUGCCGAGUAGUGGGGGAUAACGCAGCGAAAGUUGUGCUAAUACCGCAUACGUACUGAGGUAGAAAGUGGGGGACCUUCGGGCCUCACGCUAUUCGAGCGGCCGACGUCUGAUUAGCUAGUAGGUGAGGUAAAGGCUCACCUAGGCGACGGUCAGUAGCGGGUCUGGGAGGAUGAUCCGCCACACUGGGACUGAGACACGGCCCAGACUCGUACGGGAGGCAGCAGUGGGGAAUCUUGGACAGUGGGCGAAGGCCUGAUCCAGCCAUGCCGCGUGUCUGAAGAAGGCCUUCGCGUUGUAAAGGACUUUUGUCAGGGAGGAAAUCCCUAGUGCUAAUAACACUGGGGGAUGACAGUACCUGAAGAAUAAGCACCGGCUAACUACGUGCCAGCAGCCGCAGUAACAC